rnacentral:rRNA from 1 species
CCUACGGGAGGCUGCAGUGAGGAAUAUUGGUCAAUGGACGAGAGUCUGAACCAGCCAAGUAGCGUGAAGGAUGACUGCCCUAUGGGUUGUAAACUUCUUUUAUAUGGGAAUAAAAUGUUCCACGUGUGGGAUUUUGUAUGUACCAUAUGAAUAAGGAUCGGCUAACUCCGUGCCAGCAGCCGCGGUAAUACGGAGGAUCCGAGCGUUAUCCGGAUUUAUUGGGUUUAAAGGGAGCGUAGGUGGAUUGUUAAGUCAGUUGUGAAAGUUUGCGGCUAAACCGUAAAAUUGCAGUUGAAACUGGCAGGCUUGAGUACAGUAGAGGUGGGCGGAAUUCGUGGUGUAGCGGUGAAAUGCUUAGAUAUCACGAAGAACUCCGAUUGCGAAGGCAGCUCACUGGACUGCAACUGACACUGAGGCUCGAAAGUGUGGGUAUCAAACAGGAGUAGAUACCCCAGUAGUC